rnacentral:lncRNA from 1 species
CACGGUUUCUCGAGGACCUAGAGAUGCUGAGUUCUAGUGCACCUGAGCAAUUACCAAGCUCAGCCGAUGAAACCAGCCCUGAGAAACCUUUAGACGCACUUGGAAGUUUCAACCUCAGAGGAAGUAACCCACUUGAGCAACUCGGACUGUACAUGAAACAAGAUGAUGAUGAAGAAGAACCCGAAGCUCAUGCGCUUCCAAAACCUGAUGAAACCAGCACCGAGAGACCUUUAGACGCACUUGGAAGUUUCAACCUCGGAGAAAGUAACCCUCUGGAGCAACUCGGACUGUACAUGAAACUAGACGACGAUGAUGAAGAAGAACCCGAGGCUCCUGUGGUGCCAAAAC